rnacentral:rRNA from 1 species
UAGGGAAUUUUCCGCAAUGGACGCAAGCCUGACGGAGCAACGCCGCGGGAGUGAAGAAGGAUUUCGGUUCGUAAAACUCUGUUGUUAGAGAAGAACAGCGCAUAGAGUAACUGUUAUGCGUGUGACGGUAUCUAACCAGAAAGCCACGGCUAACUACGUGCCAGCAGCCGCGGUAAUACGUAGGUGGCAAGCGGUGUCCGGAUUUAUUGGGCGUAAAGCGAGCGCAGGCGGUCAAUUAAGUCUGAUGUGAAAGCCCCCGGCUCAACCGGGGAGAGUCAUUGGAAACUGGUUGGCUUGAGGGCAGAAGAGGAGAGUGGAAUUCCAUGUGUAGCGGUGAAAUGCGUGGGUUUAUGGGGAAACACCAGUGGGGAAGGCGACUCUCUGGUCUGUAACUGCCGCUGAGGCUCGAAAGCGUGGGUAGCAAAAAGG